UGCGCUUCAUGGAUGGCCGAGUCAUUAUUCAUGACCAAAUCUGGAUCGGCGACCGGGCCUUAUACCGGAAUGACAGGGUGCUUCCCUCUGCGCUUCAUGGAUGGCCGAGUCAUUAUUCAUGACCAAAUCCGGAUCGGCGACCGGGCCUUAUACCGGAAUGACAGGGUGCUUCCUCUGCGCUUCAUGGAUGGCCGAGUCAUUAUUCAUGACCAAAUCCGGAUCGGCGACCGGGCCUUAUACCGGAAUGACAGGGUGCUUCCUCUGACCUGGGGAACAACAUUUGGCUAGAUAGUGUCAUCAGCGGCAUUAGGGAUUGGUUACAGCCGUGAGGGUAUUGGCGGCGAGCCUUAUUGGCUCGGGUGGCGGUUAGGCAUUGGAAUAAUGUGUUGUGGUGUGUCGAAGGGCUAGGUGUGGCCAUCGCCUAUGCCUUCAAUUUUUGGGUAUUCCGUUAAAGGAAUCUGGCGGUCGUGUGUUCUGUCCG